GGCGGCAUGCUUAACACAUGCAAGUCGAACGCUAUUUAUAGAGUGGCGCACGGGUGAGUAACGCGUGGGUAACUGCCCUUCUGAGUGGGAUAACGUUUGGAAACGAACGCUAAUGCCACAUACGCCCUACGGGGGAAAGGUCCGCCGCAGAAGGAGGUGCCCGCGUCCGAUUAGCUUGUUGGUGAGGUAAUGGCUCACCAAGGCUACGAUCGGUAGCUGGUCUGAGAGGAUGAUCAGCCACACUGGGACUGAGACACGGCCCAGACUCCUACGGGAGGCAGCAGUGGGGAAUAUUGGACAAUGGGGGCAACCCUGAUCCAGCAAUGCCGCGUGUGUGAUGAAGGCCUUAGGGUUGUAAAGCACUUUCACUGGUGAAGAUUAUGACGGUAACCAGAGAAGAAGCCCCGGCUAACUUCGCGCCAGCAGCCGCGGUAAUACGAAGGGGGCGAGCGUUAUUCGGAAUCACUGGGCGUAAAGGGAGCGCAGGCGGUUUAUUUAGUCAGACGUGAAAGCCCCGGGCUCAACCCGGGAGGUGCGUUUGAUACUGGUAAACUAGAAAUCAUAAGAGGAUAGUGGAAUUCCCAGUGUAGAGGUGAAAUUCGUAGAUAUUGGGAAGAACACCAC
rnacentral:rRNA from 1 species